rnacentral:rRNA from 1 species
CGAACGUAUCACCCAAGACAACUUUACGGAGUUGACGAUUGACGGAGCGAAGCGACGUCAAAGCGUUCAUUAAAGUCGAGUUGGCUUAGGGAUACGUUCGUUGGGUAGGGGAGCGUUCUGUAAGCCGUUGAAGGUGGCCUGUGAGGGUUGCUGGAGGUAUCAGAAGUGCGAAUGCUGACAUAAGUAACGAUAAAGCGGGUGAAAAGCCCGCUCGCCGGAAGACCAAGGGUUCCUGUCCAACGUUAAUCGGGGCAGGGUGAGUCGACCCCUAAGGCGAGGCCGAAAGGCGUAGUCGAUGGGAAACGGGUUAAUAUUCCCGUACUUGGUGUUACUGCGAAGGGGGGACGGAGAAGGCUAUGUUGGCCGGGCGACGGUUGUCCCGGUUUAAGCGUGUAGGUGUGUGUUCCAGGUAAAUCCGGUUCACUUUAACACUGAGGCGUGACGACGAGGCACUACGGUGCUGAAGCAACAAAUGCCCUGCUUCCAGGAAAAGCCUCUAAGCAUCAGGUAACAUCAAAUCGUACCCCAAACCGACACAGGUGGUCAGGUAGAGAAUACCAAGGCGCUUGAGAGAACUCGGGUGAAGGAACUAGGCAAAAUGGUGCCGUAACUUCGGGAGAAGGCACGCUGACACGUAGGUGAAGUGAUUUACUCAUGGAGCUGAAGUCAGUCGAAGAUACCAGCUGGCUGCAACUGUUUAUUAAAAACACAGCACUGUGCAAACACGAAAGUGGACGUAUACGGUGUGACGCCUGCCCGGUGCCGGAAGGUUAAUUGAUGGGGUCAGCGCAAGCGAAGCUCCUGAUCGAAGCCCCGGUAAACGGCGGCCGUAACUAUAACGGUCCUAAGGUAGCGAAAUUCCUUGUCGGGUAAGUUCCGACCUGCACGAAUGGCGUAAUGAUGGCCAGGCUGUCUCCACCCGAGACUCAGUGAAAUUGAACUCGCUGUGAAGAUGCAGUGUACCCGCGGCAAGACGGAAAGACCCCGUGAACCUUUACUAUAGCUUGACACUGAACAUUGAGCCUUGAUGUGUAGGAUAGGUG